GGUCACAAAGAGUCGGACACGACUGAGGGACUGAACUGAACUGAACUGGCUGUGAUUGGUUGUCCUUUGGUUUUAAUUUUGUGACCCUGAGGCAUUUUCAGGCCUAGAGUUUGGUUUGCUUAUGUGGACACACUGCGUUAGAGCCACCUCAGUCUAAUAGCCUCUUUAUUUAAUUUAACAGGUAUUAUUUGAGCUAAGUACUCUGUGCUCCAAUAUCAACUCCUAAACCUUUCACCUCCCUCUUCUGGUUUCCGUACCCUGCAAAUGAGCUUUCUGUGGUCAUAAUGAAUAGUAUGUGUAGUCUGGAAAUCAUUGUCAGUCACUCACGGUGCUUCAUUAACUCCCUGGAAUCACAUAGUCUUAGAGCAGGAACUCCAGUCUUCCCAAGUCAUUUAGACCAGUGACCUUAUUUUGCAAAUAAGAGAACUGAGCCCAAAGAGGUUAAGUGUCCCACCCAAGCUAUCGGGCCAGUUAAUGACAAGGAGAAAAAUCUGGACUCCACACUCAAAGUAUAUUACCCUCCUCCUCCUCACAAUCGCUCUCCAGACUCCCUGGACACCUUAAUCGCCUCUCAUGUUACUUGCUCUGCCAACAGGACCAUACUUACCUGGCUUGCUGCCAAUUCAGGUUGUAGAGAGUUUAACUGCAUCAGUAUUCAAGUGGUCUUGUACCAUUCAUGAUGACUCAACAGCAGCGUGUCUACAAAUUAUUCAAGCCCUUUUCAUGACUCAUGCCGUGUAUUAUGGCAGAGUAAAUUUUUCCCUCUCUCUUGGAAAAAAAAGGCCUGUUUUUCUUAUGAAAAAUGUUAGACAUUUGGAAACUUUUAAGAAAGAGAUUUUGCUAAUAUUAAUAAAUGGUUAUUAACAUUUUAAAAGUGAAUUAAAAGCUUGUCACUAAGAUACAACUAAAAUCCUAGAAACCAAAGACCUAUAUGUGGUAGAACAUGAGCACUGAUAUUUUGGUGAUUUCCAGUGAUUCUUCCAGAAAUGCUUUCUCAGAGUCAUGUACCCAUGUGAAAAGAGGCUUAUCUGUGGUCUAUGUAGGGUUGGAACUAGUUUGACCUGAAUAUAUCUAGAUAACCUAUUGUCAUUGAGAGUGAAUCUAAACCUUCUGAAGCCUUCUCCAUCUACUUGGUCAACAUGCCCCUCCUUUCUUCUGGUCAAUUUCCCAAGAAAUCCAGGGACAAAAUUAAUGCAGAAGAUGGUCUGAUGGGCAAGGCCAUUCCAGCUCCUAGUGCCAUGCUGCCAUGCUCUCCCUUCAGUCAUGUCUGAUUCUGUGCAACCCCAUGGACUGUAGUCCACCAGGCUCCUCUGUCCAUGGGAUUUCNNNNNNNNNNNNNNNNNNNNNNNNNNNNAUUUCCUUCUCCAGGGGAUCUUUCUGACCCAGGGAUUGAACCCAUGUCUCUGAAGUCUCCUGCAUUGGCAAGUGGGUUCUUUACUACUAGCGCCACCUGGGAAGCCCACCCUGCUCCCAGGGCUGGGCGUAAAGAGAUCUGAAAUGACUGAUCAGCUCAGGACUGUCAUUGCUUCUAGCUGGUUCCUACUGUUACUGUGAAGUCCGUGCCCAAAGUCUAACAGAUGCUUACCUACUCUGUGUGAUGUCCUUGCUGGUCUGGAUUCCUGCCAGCCUCACAGUAGAUCGCUGCAUUUGGGCUUUGAGCAUGUAGCUCUCUUAGGGCAUACUCAGAUAUUCUGCCAUUGUUCAUCAUAACAAAACAUUCUGUGUGUCACUGUGUCAUCAUAGGUAGCCUUUAUCACAAGGAGACCCCUCCACAAGUGUAGACUGGGGACACCACCCUAAACUUGUCCUUUCCUCAAGGUUUUUUCAGGGUCAUCCUUAACAGUUCCAACUCCUUAGCCUUGGGCAGGACCAUCCUGUCCACCAUUCCAAGUCUAUUUAACUGUGAGUCUCACAGAGGGGGAAGUCAGUGAUUUGGGCCCUUUGCCAUAGGAGGCCUGGGGUCCUUUUGCAAAAUGAUCCAUCACUUUCCAAGGACAAGUUCUCUUUAUGAAAUAAUGAGGUAGGUUGUAUUAAAAAAAAACACUUUUAAAAAGAUAUUAUUACNNNNNNNNNNNNNNNNNNNNNNNNNNNNNNNNNNNNNNNNNNNNNNNNNNNNNNNNNNNNNNNNNNNNNNNNNNNNNNNNNNNNNNNNNNNNNNNNNNNAAAAAAAAACACUUUUAAAAAGAUAUUAUUACACUUUCCUUUUAAAAUCACGGAUACUUAACUAUUUAUAUAACUGAGAAUUUCCUUUUGAAUAACUCUUUCCUAAAAGAUUUUUUGUUUCAGGUAAUUUGUAGUCUAUACAUAUAAACAUAAGAAUGAGUGAUAUAAUUUUAAGUACUUCUUUGUCCCCACCAAGGAGCGCCCUGUUUAUGCUCAAUCAUAAUAACUGUCCUGACUAUACAAAAAUCAUCCCAGUAAAUGGUAAACUUUUUACCACUUGGCUUAAGCUAAAGACAUGCUUGAUUUUCUUACCUCAACAUCCAAAUCCAAAUCCUAUUGGGCAAAUAGGAUAUAUCACCAAUAUAUAUAUAUAUAUAUAUAU
ensembl:lncRNA